AGGAGAAAGGUAACAUCUUCCAUCCACUACCCCUGCUCCACAGCUCCCACUCAGGUCCGGGUCAUCCCCUGCAGGAUGCCAUCCACACCCCUCCUGUCUCCCCAGGACAACCCACCGGGGCGAGGGUCACCCAAAGCUGCGAGGGGCGCCCCCGCCGCACUCCCAGAGCUCGAGCCAGCGUCAGGUGUUCGUAGGGGCAACGCGGCGCCUCACCUGCAAGAUCUCGUCCAGGCCCUCCUGGCUCAGGCAUGGGAACUUGGUGAGUAGAUGCAGCUUCUCCGUGUAGUACUUCUUCUUAGCCUCCUUCCAGUGCGGCUCCUCCAGCACCUCGAAGAUCGCCGCCCCGAUGGCCAAGUAAAAGAUGAUGGCCGAGGUGAGCAGAGGGCCCCGGUCCACCAUGGCUCCCGAGCGGCCACCUCCGGGCCAACGCGUCUCCUAGCCCCAGUGGCUCCCGGUCCACCCGCCCUCCAGCCUCUGGAAACAGCUGUUUGAAUUUGGAGCUCCGCAUGCGCAGUGCCCCGAACCCCCCGUGCGGCUCCGGGGACAAAGUAGAUUCUCCAAGUUGGCCCACGGAGCGCGGGAAAUUGUGCGGGGGGCCCUGCUCGCGCGGGCCGGGGUGGGCACACACCAAGGGGGCCGAGGGAGCGCCCCGGAUCGCGGCGGUAAGAGAAGCUGGG